GACUCACCUGGAACUCAUGGACUCCUUUGAGCCUGCAGUGCCGGGGGCCCUGGUGUUUCUCUCUGAGCCGUGAUUUUAUUUAGCUUGAGCGCGGCAUUCUGAACAGGGUGCUAAGGGAAAUUUACAGACUAGAUUAGACAUGGUUUUUACCCUCAGGAAUUUCACAAUUUAAUGGAGGAAAUAAGAUUAACACACAGUCAAUUAAGAGAAAGUAGAUACACAUGUACACAUAAAAAUAUUGAUUUAAGUUUGGGAAAGAGGAGAUAGGGGCAAAGGAUUUAGAUGCUAAUCAGCCAAGUCUUGCAGACUUUGCAGCCUUCACGUGCAUUCAUCUGAGUGGAUGGAAAGCUCACCGUGAGCGGAAAGAAAGAAAGGGGACAGCUUUGCAAGGAGAGAUUCCUCUUUUCUCCCACUCCACUCACCCACAAAUGGCCCCGGAGCAGAAGCAACUGCGUGCUCAGCGAUUCUAAGUCAUGUCUGUGUGACUGGCCAGCUGGGUUAUUGGAUGAUGCUGUGGAGACAUUUUCACUUGGCCUUCUAGUCAUCUGAGAAAAUAGGCAAAGCUCUGAGGCUUUGGAAGAUGGCCACUGUAUGACAGGAGCUAGCCUCAAUCCCUCAGUGACACAGUGGAACAGAGCUCUCUCUCCCAAUACAUACCGUGAAAAGUACAGUACAGCAGCUGGCACACAGAGGAACGUUCACAUCUUUGAAAGUUCACAACUUGAAGUUGAUAUAAAUAUGUAUUUUUCUUUUUUUGAAAAUAAAAUUUUUUCACCGCCGCGCACACCAACACGUUGCCGGUCACCGACAGCGCGGCCAGAGCCAGCUCCAGCGCCACGUACACCGCGUCCUGCGCCUCCAGCGGCAUCGCCGCCCGGCCCGCCUCGGGCUCGCCCCACCUGGCUUCCCGGAGCGCCCGGCCCGCGCUCGCCCCUCCGCGUCUGAGCCCGGGGCUCCGUAUUUUUCUUUAAGUAGUGUGGAUUAUUUUGCUACACAGAAACCUAUUUAUUCCUAUUAUUAACAUUGGUUCGCAUCUGAAAGUCUUCAACAAUGGCUGUUUAUAAGCUGAAACAUAAAACAUCAUCAACAAUGGAGCAACAGGAACUCUCAUUCAUUGCUGGUGGGAGUGGAAAAUGGGACAGCCACUUCUGAAGAAUGUUUGGCAGUUUCUUACAAACCUAAACAUACCUUUAGUAUACAAUCUAGUAACUGAGCUCCUUGAUGAUGUUCAAAUAAUUUGAAAACUUACUUCUAUGUCAAAUGAAAGACGCCAAUCUGAAAAUACAUAUGAGUGCAACUAUGUAAUAUUCUGGAAAAAUAAAAUUUAUGGAGUCAGAGAAAAGCUCAUGGCUGCUAAGAGAUCUUGGGACAGAUGGAAGAAUAGAUGAAACACAGAGGAUUUUUAUGGCUGUGAAAAUACUUUGCAUGAUACCACAAUGAUUGGAAGCAUGUUUUAUUAUACCCUUAGGCAAAUUCGUAGAAUGUACAGCACAAAGAGUAAACUCUAAUGUAGACUAUGGACUUGGGGCAGUCUAUGCCUGUUUAAUGAUUAUAACAAAUACACUACUCUUGAGAUGAGAUGUAAACUGGCUGCCUUAUUUAUUCACCAAAAACCCACCAGUCUCUUUACAAUGCUCACAGAUGUCAAAAUUGAGUCAUGUCGUCAGGAAUUAAAACAUCCUUACUUGCGAGUCUUCCAACUUUAUUUAGUAGCCUCUCACAGCUAUAUAUAAUAUUCACAUUUUGAUGAUUUGUAGGGAUAGCACAGAAAGUCUAUAUCUGUAGAGGUUUAUGGUAACUAGGAUCUGGAUUUGUGUUCAGACAAGCAGAGGUGCUGGUUGUGAUCAAACACAGUUUAUAAUCCCAAAUUUAUGGCUCAAAGCAAUUUUCACCUUUUGUUCUUCAUCAUGUAAACUCUCUAUGUUAUUCAUCACUAUUUAAAACUGAAUGUAGUCAUAACUAAUAUCAAAAUGGUGUCUGAUACACAGUAGAUGUUAAGUAAAUCUUUUCUAGAUUGAUGACUUGCAUAAAUCUGCCAUAUUUCUUCUUGCACAACUUUCCUCAUUUUUUUUCUUGCAUGAGUUUCCUUUCAAUGUGUUAUGCAGAAUAAUUAUCUAUGUUAGUCAUUCUUAACAAUCCAGUAUCUUCCUUCAAUAAACAUAAACGCCAGAGGGCUAGCAUAUGCUGUAGAAAUAAAGUCUCUUCAGUAAGUGGUGCUGAGAAAACUGGAUAGCUCCAUGUUAAAGAAUGAAAUUAGAACAUCCUCUAACACCAUACAAAAAUAAACUCAAUAUGGAUUAAAGACCUAAAUGCAUGAGCAGAUUAUAUAAAACUCCUAGAGUAAAAUAUAAGCAGAAUACUCUUUGACCCAAAUCACAACAAUAUCUUUUUCAAUCUGUCUCCUAGAGUAAUGGAAAUAAAAACAAACAAAUGGGACCUAAUUAAACUUAAAAGCUUUUGCAUAGCAAAGGAAACUAUAAACAAAGGAAAAGAAAAUCUACAGAAUGGGAG
ensembl:lncRNA